rnacentral:sRNA from 1 species
UGAAGCAGAAUGAUGUCCUUCCUAUUGA